rnacentral:rRNA from 1 species
UACGAAGGGGGCUAGCGUUGUUCGGAAUUACUGGGCGUAAAGCGCGCGUAGACGGUUUUGUAAGUCAGAUGUGAAAUCCCCGGGCUCAACCUGGGAACUGCAUUUGUGACUGCACAGCUGGAGUGCGGCAGAGGGGGAUGGAAUUCCGCGUGUAGCAGUGAAAUGCGUAGAUAUGCGGAGGAACACCGAUGGCGAAGGCAAUCCCCUGGGCCGCACUGACGCUCAUGCACGAAAAGCCGUGGGGAGCAAACAGG